AUUUAAUAAGAAAUUUAGGUUGAUUUUUUUAACCAUGAUGAAUCUGUGAUAUAUCAGCUAAGCUUACAAAGAUUCAAGAAGCAGCUCCUGAAUGUGUUUUACUGCCCUCCUCCCCCUUCCUGGCACAUAUAUGUCUCAGGUUGCAGUCCUCCCUGAGAUGCUGAGAUACAGCAUUUGACUGGGGCAUGGGGAGGGAUUGCCAAUGAAAGCUGAACAUUUUGCAACCAACUCAUGGGAAAAUAAAGUCAGAAAUCACCUAGUUUGCCAAAAAUAUAAAGAACAAUUGACAUGAAAAGAAAUAAAAAUGCGUAUGGUGGUAGGAGCUAACUGAUCGAACCGGUGGUAGUGGGCUCCCUCAGAAGAAACCUUCCCUCUACGGAAAUGGCAUUGGGAAAGAUAACUGAGAUACCCGGGUUUUUAUUUAACUUCCUUUAACAACACUCACCGAUAAGUGGCCUACCUUUGUCAGAAGCAGGCUAUCAAGGCUCCGUUUCCUCUCCAGCUAAGGGGGUGAGGCCCUGAGAGGUGGCAAAUUGAGGCGGCAGCUCUCGAGCCAAGCCCUGACCACGAGCAGUCGCUGGAGCUGUAACGACCAGAGGAGCUGCACAGGUCCGGACACAAGCACAAAGCCUGACCACAGUUGGAGGUGGUUACAGAACCAGCAUCAUGCCCAGCAAGCUGUGUGACAGCAAGGACUGGGUUUGGUGGAGAGCGCAGGUAAAACCUGGCACUGCUGGCAGAUGAGGGUGCAAGCCCCAGCAGCCAGCUCUGGAGGAGCGUUGCAAUAGGAGCUGCCUCCAGGGCGUUUCAGAGAACGGCAAUGACAGACACCGCAUUCCUUGACCAAGUUGACCCCUCAGAGAGAAAAACAAGACCACAGCCCUGCUUUGCUGCAUUGUGGAUGAUAUUAAAGAAGAAAAUCCUCACCUCUUUGUGCCCUUGUUUUGCAGCUGCUGCUAUGGCUGGUGAUGAGACUCUGAGCUGGAAAGGUCUCCUCUGCCACCUGCAGAACAGGGAUAUUUUAUCUCCGUUCGCCGAUGUGUUCUGCAGUUCUGAAGGGCUACUUGUGCUGUCCUUACGCUUCUUCAUCCAUUUUGGAAGUGCUGCUGUCCCCAUGGUCAGAUUCAGUACUAAUAUUUUGUAUUAACAACCAUCAAUCUUGCAAGCAAGGUCCUAUCCCAGAGCAUUACAAAGACCUUUUCAUUUAAGUAUUUUUUCAUUUGUUUAAGUCUAUAAAGCUCAUUUGCAAAUGAAUUCCAAAGUUGGGGGGAAAUUAAAUGUUUAUUUGCAUUUAAAAUAUUUCUAUUUUUACAUAAAUCCUGCCUUCCUUUACUUUACAACUGUUUCUCACUGGAGUUACUCCUGACUUACAAUACUAGGUGUAAGAUUACAAAUAGGUCAACUAAAUUUGUAGUCAUUUAACUGCCUAUUUAUCACUUUAUACUACUGAAAAACAAUAUGAUUGCUGGGAGGAAGAGUGAUUAUUACUUUGUAACUUAUUAUUUCUUUGCUAAUUGCUCCUUAUUUUAUACCUUAUAACUCGGAACAAGGUUUAGAGUCCACAGUGUAAGAGAGUUAUUGUUUGAUGGUCGUUAUCCCAUUUAUGGAGUAUCAUAAACAUUGACAACAUCGUUGAGAAGCCUUUCUACAUACGGGCGGUUUUAUCUCCUUCAUAAAAACACUGUGAUGGUAGCUUAUUAACUGCAAGAAAGGCUAACCUAUGAGGACAGGUAAAGAACUCUACUCGAAUAGUUUGGCUAAAUGUUGACACAGAUACCUUCUCCUUGGAAUACAGUAAGUGUUUAAGCAGGAAGAAAUUAGUUACAGGAAAUUAAGAGAAGAACUAAAACAGCAGGAUAAAGAAAAGGAGCACUGAUGUUUUUGUUUCUCUUGCCCUUUGACAAGGUAAGCUAUGCAGGGCAGAGAUGGUCUCCUGCUUUGAGUUUCUCUUACUACAUUAGGACAGCAGCCUCACUCGUUAACCAAGUGUUGAUGCAAAUAAGAGUAACUUCAUUUCAGUGGCUCUUCAGCAAAACUAGUGUGCCUUAAUUGUUACCUUAAUUAAAAGUAUCUUAACUAAUAACAGUAGUAAGUUUGAGCGAGCAAAUACAUACGAAAUAUGCUGUGGGGAGGAAUACUUCAUUGGCAGAGAAAUUAUAUGAUGGUUUUCAGCACUACCUGUCACUCUCUAAGCAAUUACCUCUAGCUCCAGCCGGCUAUUUUUCAUUUCUUGAAGGUGUAUUUCAGGAGAAGUGGGAAGAUAUUGUAAUGUCAUAAUCAGUGGUACCUGGUUAUUAUUGCAGCCUACUGUCAUUUCUCAAUAUACCGCCUCCAUAAAACUGAAAUUAUCCUUGUCUCCUAGUAGUGUAAAUGUGGAACGGAGAGGCCCCUCCACACAACUCCCCAGAAUAUCUCUCCCUUUCUAGGAUUUCUGUGUCUGUUCCCUGUGUAGCAGCAGCAAGCCCUUCCACCUCCUCACUCCUACCCACUUCAUGCUGCAGCUUGAGGAGAAUUUCCCAGCCAUCAUCUCUGGAGAUGAUCCUGACCGAUGCCAAAAUCUGCGACCACAAUUUAAGCAGUGCUUCCCACUGCAAAAAGCUGUCAGACAGGGGAACGGGAUUGCACUGGUAGGGAGGUGAAGAAUCCUGAGACACUGAAUAAACAGUUGUUACCGGAGCA
rnacentral:lncRNA from 1 species